CUAUAUCCAUUCAAGCGAUGAAAGAUGAGGCAAACAAGAGAUGGAAAGAUGGGAAGAUAAGAGAUCAUAUGUCCUUCCCCUUCCUUUCUUCUUUACUAUUAUCUCGUUUCCCAAUAUUUACAAUCUAGAAAUGGAAAGAAAUGAAUGAGGGAAACGAUAGGAAAGGAA
rnacentral:ribozyme from 1 species